rnacentral:rRNA from 1 species
AUUGAACGCUGGCGGCAGGCCUAACACAUGCAAGUCGAACGAGUGGCGGACGGGUGAGUAAUGUCUGGGAAACUGCCUGAUGGAGGGGGAUAACUACUGGAAACGGUAGCUAAUACCGCAUACCAUCGGAUGUGCCCAGAUUGGAUUAGCUGGUGGGUGGGGUAACGGCUCACCUAGGCGACGAUCCCUAGCUGGUCUGAGAGGAUGACCAGCCACAGUGGAAAUGAGACACGGUCCAGACUCAUAAGGGAGGCAGCAGUGGGGAACAUUGCACAAUGGGCGCAAGCCUGAGGCAGCCAAGCCGCGUGUAUGAAGAAGGUCUUCGGGUUGUAAAGUACUUUCAGCGGGGAGGCGUUACCCGCAGAAGAAGCACCGGCUAACUCCGUGCCAGCAGCCGCGGUAAUUC